rnacentral:lncRNA from 1 species
UGUAUGGGGAACAGAAGCGCUCAGUGACGUUUACUGAGAUGCAGCCUGAAGGUCCUAGUAAAGUACUGGCAACAAGUGAAGCUCCGUCCUCUUCAGAAGGACGCAAGCCCAGCCCCGCCCCUCCUGCCUCCCCUGCCUCCCUGCCUGUGUCCUCCCGUCCUCAGACACCAUCUUCAUCUGUAGAGAACCGUGGUUCCCCGGCACUGUGGAGCUGUCUCUCUCCUCCUGUCCCCCUGUCCCGCUCGUCCACCCCUCCAUCACGGCCCUGUUCUCCCAUGCUGCCACCGCAGAUCCGCGAGAGUCCCGAGGACGAGGACACGUCCGCCCUGUUGCGCCACUCUGACAGCCUACAGAGUGCCAGCGAGGACUGUGGCACAGAGAACCCACUGCUGGCACCGAUCCUGCCCAGCACCCUGACACGACCUGCCGCCACCUUCCCCCUGCCACUCUCACCAGUUGACCUUGACCUGGACGAGUCACAUGUCUGAUAAAACUCCCUACUGCAGUCCUACUGUACGGGGCAGAUGAAGGUCACUUAUUCAUGUUUAAUGUGGAGCUGGAGGAAAGCAGAUACUUGUGUGGUAUUAUGUAGCAGUUUAAUGCAUUUUCAGCAGAAUCAUGUAUUAUCAUGACUGGAUUAUAUUAAAGCAGAAUUAUAUUAUAGUAAAGCCAAGUUGAUUAUAUAUAUAUAUAUACACACAAAACUAUUGUUUUAUAAAGCAAUCUCUCAAAAUAUAAGAAGUGGCCGUAUACAGUGUGUACAGAUAAAAGAUAUAUUAGAGAUGAAAUAUAGAAAUUAAAUUAUAAGACUCUGAAAUGAAGUUUUAAUUGUGUGUUUCGUCAUAAAAUGUAUGUGAGUCAAGAUUCUGACUGUUUUCUUUGCUUCUGUGCUCAGAGUAAAUGUUUUUGUCUCUAAUAAUGAUUAUGAUCAAACUGUGCAGAUGUAUGUAUAACGCUAACAUCACCACUUUCUUUAGGUCAUAUUUGCCAUCAGACAGAUUAUCACUCCUGUAAUGUCCUGUGAAUAUUCAUUAAAAUAUAUUUAAAAG